UACAGAGGGGGCAAGCGUUAUUCGGAAUUACUGGGCGUAAAGGGCGCGUAGGCGGCUUGACAAGUCACUUGUGAAAUCUCCGGGCUUAACUCGGAACGGCCAAGUGAAACUGUCAUGCUAGAGUGCAGAAGGGGCAAUCGGAAUUCUUGGUGUAGCGGUGAAAUGCGUAGAUAUCAAGAGGAACACCUGAGGUGAAGACGGGUUGCUGGGCUGACACUGACGCUGAGGCGCGAAAGCCAGGGGAGCAAACGGG
rnacentral:rRNA from 1 species